GCUGAUUGCUACUGGAAAGGGUUUCUUUCUGGAGAUCCCUCCUUGGUGGAUUUUUCCUUGUGAAUUUAGAAUCAUCUGAUACAGGCAGAGGUAGACCAGGAAAAUGUGAAAACAUCACUGGAGUAUUCUUAAAACUACAGUAGAAUUUUGGACCUUCUUCGGGCUCUUUAUUGGAAGAGGAAUGAGGAAAGAACUUCUCUCAGAGCCACAGGUGCAGGCACCUCUGGAGAGUGAAAGGCAGUUAAGAUUGUAUUCCCUGGGGAUCUGUGUUCAAAGGAACAGCUUUAGGAUCCAUGCUACAGCCUUCUGCUCUUCCCUCAGAGGAGUGUCACUUCAUGAUGGUCAGGUCUGCAUGAGGAGGGAACAGGAAUGGAGAGUUGAGAGUCACAGACCAUGCUGAUGGUUACAAGCAGAUAUUGGAUACUGCUAAAGGUCACAGACUGCAUCAGGCACACUACAGUUUUGACUAAGUACAGCAACUGCUAUGAUCCACUGGUAUUUUUUUGCUGUUGAAGAAAUACUGUUGAGUGUUUGCGCAGGAGGAUUCACUCUAACACCCUGUCAGAUCUUGG